AUUGAACGCUGGCGGCAUGCCUUACACAUGCAAGUCGAACGGCAGCACGGGAGCAAUCCUGGUGGCGAGUGGCGAACGGGUGAGUAAUAUAUCGGAACGUGCCCAGUCGUGGGGAUAACGUAGCGAAAGCUACGCUAAUACCGCAUACGAUCUAUGGAUGAAAGCGGGGGAUCGCAAGACCUCGCGCGAUUGGAGCGGCCGAUAUCAGAUUAGCUAGUUGGUGAGGUAAAGGCUCACCAAGGCGACGAUCUGUAGCUGGUCUGAGAGGACGACCAGCCACACUGGGACUGAGACACGGCCCAGACUCCUACGGGAGGCAGCAGUGGGGAAUUUUGGACAAUGGGCGCGAAGCCUGAUCCAGCAAUGCCGCGUGCAGGAUGAAGGCCUUCGGGUUCGGUUAAACGUUAGGUAC
rnacentral:rRNA from 1 species